UUUGCCUCUAGAGGUAUUGCAGGUAUGGCUGCUGUGUCACAUGUGCAUCAAGAGGUGGCAGAGGGGAGAAAGGCUAUGUCUACACUCAGUGUUCUAACAUGUGAACAUCUGAAUGGUCAGUAGUCUAACAUU
ensembl:snoRNA Gm25497 predicted gene, 25497